GACGAACGCUGGCGGCGUGCUUAACACAUGCAAGUCGAACGAAGUGGCGAACGGGUGAGUAACGCGUAAUCAACCUGCCCUUCAGAGGGGGACAACAGUUGGAAACGACUGCUAAUACCGCAUACUGAAGGAGGGGAUUGCGUCGGAUUAGCUCGUUGGGGGGGUAACGGCCCACCAAGGCGAUGAUCAGUAGCCGGUCUGAGAGGAUGAACGGCCCAAUUGGGAAUGGGACACGGCCCAGACUCCUACGGGAGGGAGCAGUGGGGAAUCUUCCGCAAAGGACGAAAGUCUGACGAAGGAAAGGCGCGGGAGUGAUGACGGCCUUCGGGUUGUAAAGCUCUGUUAAGCGGGACGCGGUACCGGAAUAGAAAGCCACGGCUAACUACGUGCCAGCAGCCGCGGUAAUAC
rnacentral:rRNA from 1 species